rnacentral:lncRNA from 1 species
GCCAAAGCAAAACAUCAGUAAAAAAACAGAGUCUGCUAGAAAUUCUAGUGGAUGCAUAUUCUGUGAAAGUGAAGUAAGGCUGCUACGAUUUCUCCCUGCUGCGAUUUUAGCGAUUUUUGCAAUUUGGAAUUGGAACCUACUUUGCAAUCGCAGAUCGAUAAAGUUGAAUUGGGGCAAAUACCGAUUUGGUACAUCUGAGUUAUCUGCCAGCUCCACUGCUUAGAAUGUUACCAAAUGUUACAAUUUUCUUUGUUCUUUGAUGGGUUGGUCCCAAUUUCUAAUAUUAUCAUGUUCUUGAUUUUGAUUUCUAAUACAUAUCUAG